AAUCUGUCUUUAUUAGGAACGGUAUUGUUCGACAGUCUUUCAUAAUCAAGACAUGGUAGUGUGAACAUGCUAGGGAAUAGUUACCUGUUUGAACGUUACAAUUUUCGUGUUUAGCAAGUUUUUGAGCAAUUGCUAAGAAGUUGUUAGUUGUUAGAUAAAAUAUAAAAUCUGGUUAUUCGAAAGCUGACUUGCAAUUUUCUAUAAAAAGGAUUUAUUCAGAGAUGGGCCAUACGGCAGACAGAUAGACUAUUCUACAUGUGGAAAAUCCUCCCCUGAUCCACUUCGUGAUACACAAAGAAGCUUCUGCCAGUAACACAAUUCUUCAUAAAUUCUUUUCCAUGCUGUUAUGCGUAAACACAAUACCGCUUCCUGUCCUAUGCUUAUCUUUCAUUCGACACAUUAAACCAAAGAUAUAAUCUAAACUAUCGGUUUUUCGACAUAAAUAGGUUAAUACCUUUUUAUAUGAUAUGAAACGUUACGAUAUCGGUCACAUCACUAUUGUUUACAAAGCACGAGUUUCGACUGAUUGGUAGGUUAAAAAAAAAGGACAAUAACAAGAAAGAACCGAUUCGGAAGGACGAACCUUUCGUUUGCCUCCGAAUCUCUCAUUAAACAGGUCAUAUUGUAGGAUGUUAAUAUACUUUCCGCGGUGAACACAUGAACGCACAAAAGAUAUAUCGAUGAUAACAUUAUUUCGUUCAACGGAAUCAUCGAACAACACAAACAAUUAUUUUCCACAUUAUUUUCCGAGAUAGGAAGGCGCAGUUCCGUUUUUAACGGAAACUACGAGGGUUGACAGACCCAUCUCGUUAUUUUCCAUUUAUAAUUUGUACAAAAUGAAAUUGAAUAAUCACCGCGAUGUGUGUAUUAUCGUCUGCUUAUACUUUAAUUCGUACAACCCGUGCCCACGUCUGCACGCUACUUGAACGGACAGCACAUCAAAAUCAGCUUCGUGCUUAAUGUAUUAAAUGCCAUUGCAUCACCGUAAUCGAUACGAUUCACGUAUUUCACGCAAUGUAAUUUUUUUGAAAGCAAAAACAUUUCAGUCACGGCGUCUACCCUCA